CCUACGGGCGGCAGCAGUGGGGAAUAUUGGACAAUGGGGGCAACCCUGAUCCAGCCAUGCCGCGUGUGUGAAGAAGGCCCUCGGGUUGUAAAGCACUUUCAGUGAGGAAGAACGCCUGGUGGUUAAUACCCAUCAGGAAAGACAUCACUCACAGAAGAAGCACCGGCUAACUCCGUGCCAGCAGCCGCGGUAAUACGGAGGGUGCGAGCGUUAAUCGGAAUUACUGGGCGUAAAGCGCGCGUAGGUGGCUUGAUAAGCCGGUUGUGAAAGCCCCGGGCUCAACCUGGGAACGGCAUCCGGAACUGUCAAGCUGGAGUGCAGGAGAGGAAGGUAGAAUUCCCGGUGUAGCGGUGAAAUGCGUAGAGAUCGGGAGGAAUACCAGUGGCGAAGGCGGCCUUCUGGACUGACACUGACACUGAGGUGCGAAAGCGUGGGUAGCAAACAGGAUUAGAUACCCGGGUAGUC
rnacentral:rRNA from 1 species